GGCCCGUUAGCUCAGCCCGGUUAGAGCACCUGCCUUUUAAGCAGGGUGUCAGGGGUUCAAAUCCCCUACGGGCCA
rnacentral:tRNA from 1 species